CCUACGGGUGGCUGCAGUGGGGAAUAUUGCACAAUGGGCGCAAGCCUGAUGCAGCCAUGCCGCGUGUGUGAAGAAGGCCUUCGGGUUGUAAAGCACUUUCAGCGGGGAGGAAGGCGUUAAGGUUAAUAACCUUGGCGAUUGACGUUACCCGCAGAAGAAGCACCGGCUAACUCCGUGCCAGCAGCCGCGGUAAUACGGAGGGUGCAAGCGUUAAUCGGAAUUACUGGGCGUAAAGCGCACGCAGGCGGUCUGUCAAGUCGGAUGUGAAAUCCCCGGGCUCAACCUGGGAGCUGCAUUCGAAACUGGCAGGCUAGAGUCUUGUAGAGGGGGGUAGAAUUCCAGGUGUAGCGGUGAAAUGCGUAGAGAUCUGGAGGAGUACCGGUGGCGAAGGCGGCCCCCUGGACAAAGACUGACGCUCAGGUGCGAAAGCGUGGGGAGCAAACAGGAUUAGAUACCCCGGUAGUC
rnacentral:rRNA from 1 species